GGGGAUGAUCGGUUUCGACAGCGGAUGUCGAAGCAGGGGAAGCGAGCCGAGGAAGCGGCAAUGAUCUCGUAAACCAUAUGUCGCAAAAAAUAAUCGCCAACACCAAGCGCGAUUCCUUCGCCCUCGCUGCCUGAUUUAACAGACAGCGACUCUGCGGAGUGUCAGCCCGGGCUUGAUCCCGUCCCGGAACCUGGCAUCAGCUAGGGAUCUAAACCACCGGCCCCGGCCACGGGGGCCGGUGGGAAAUCAAACAGUGGCUGAGCCCGUCGGAGACUUGUUCGCGUGAUCUCCGGGGCCGAGAAAAUCGCAGCGAACUGCGCUCGGAGAAGCCCUGUUUCCGCACCGUUGGACGCGGGUUCGAUUCCCGCCAUCUCCACCA
rfam:Streptomyces fradiae strain ATCC 19609 contig0048, whole genome shotgun sequence.